GACGAACGCUGGCGGCGUGCUUAACACAUGCAAGUCGAACGGAAAGGCCCUGCUUUUGUGGGGUUCUCGAUUGGCGAACGGGUGAGUAACACGUGAGUAACCUGCCCUUGACUUUGGGAUAACUUCAGGAAACUGGGGCUAAUACCGUAUAGGAUCUCCUGCUGCAUUGUGGGGGUUGGAAAGUUUCGGCUGUUGGGGAUGGACUCGCGGCUUAUCAGCUUGUUGGUGGGGUAGGGGCUUACCAAGCCUUUGACGGGUAGCCGGCCUGAGAGGGUGACCGGCCACAUUGUGCCUGAGAUACGGCCCAGAGUCCUACGGGAGGCAGCAGUGGGGAAUAUUGCACAAUGGGCGGAGGCCUGAUGCAGCAACGCCGCGGGCGGGAUGACGGCCUUCGGGUUGUAAACCGCUUUCGCCUGUGACGAAGCGUGAGUGACGGUAAUGGGUAAAGAAGCACCGGCUAACUACGUG
rnacentral:rRNA from 1 species